GGUGUGUGUCAUGGCCAGAGGUAGUCCUGAGUAACGGUGUGGUGUGUGUCAUGGCCAGAGGUAGUCCUGAGUAACGGCGUGGUGUGUGUCAUGGCCAGAGGUAGUCCUGAGUAACGGUGUGGUGUGUGUCAUGGCCAGAGGUAGUCCUGAGUAAAGGUGUUUGUCAUGGCCAGAGGUAGUCCUGAGUAACGGUGUGUGUCAUGGCCAGAGGUAGUCCUGAGUAACGGUGUGUGUCAUGGCCAGAGGUAGUCCUGAGUAACGGUGUGUGUCAUGGCCAGAGGUAGUCCUGAGUAACGGUGUGGUGUGUGUCAUGGCCAGAGGUAGUCCUGAGUAACGGUGUGUGUCAUGGCCAGAGGUAGUCCUGAGUAACGGUGUGUGUCAUGGCCAGAGGUAGUCCUGAGUAACGGUGUGUGUCAUGGCCAGAGGUAGUCCUGAGUAACGGUGUGGUGUGUGUCAUGGCCAGAGGUAGUCCUGAGUAACGGUGUGGUGUGUGUCAUGGCCAGAGGUAGUCCUGAGUAACGGUGUGGUGUGCGUCACGGCCAGAGGUAGUCCUGAGUAACGGUGUGUGUCAUGGCCAGAGGCAGUCCUGAGUAACGGUGUGGUGUGUGUCAUGGCCAGAGGUAGUCCUGAGUAACGGUGUGGUGUGCGUCACGGCCAGAGGUAGUCCUGAGUAACGGUGUGUGUCAUGGCCAUAGGCAGUCCUGAGUAACGGUGUGGUGUGUGUCAUGGCCAGAGGUAGUCCUGAGUAACGGUGUGUGUCAUGGCCAGAGGUAGUCCUGAGUAACGGUGUGGUGUGUGUCAUGGCCAGAGUUAGUCCUGAGUAACGGUGUGUGUCAUGGCCAGAGGUAGUCCUGAGUAACGGUGUGUGUCAUGGCCAGACGUAGUCCUGAGUAACGGUGUGUGUCAUGGCCAGAGGUAGUCCUGAGUAACGGUGUGUGUCAUGGCCAGAGGUAGUCCUGAGUAACGGUGUGGUGUGUGUCAUGGCCAGAGGUAGUCAUGAGUAACGGUGUGGUGUGUGUCAUGGCCAGAGGUAGUCCUGAGUAACGGUGUGGUGUGUGUCAUGGCCAGAGGUAGUCCUGAGUAACGAUGUGGUGUGUGUCAUGGCCAGAGGUAGUCCUGAGUAACGGUGUGGUGUGUGUCAUGGCCAGAGGUAGUCCUGAGUAACGGUGUUUGUCAUGGCCAGAGGUAGUCCUGCGUAACUGUGUUUGUCAUGGCCAGAGGUAGUCCUGAGUAACGGUGUGUGUCAUGGCCAGAGGUAGUCCUGAGUAACAGUGUGUGUCAUGGCCAGAGGUAGUCCUGAGUAACGGUGUGUGUCAUGGCCAGAGGUAGUCCUGAGUAACGGUGUGUGUCAUGGCCAGAGGUAGUCCUGAGUAACAGUGUGUGUCAUGGCCAGAGGUAGUCCUGAGUAACGGUGUGUGUCAUGGCCAGAGGUAGUCCUGAGUAACGGUGUGUGUCAUGGCCAGAGGUAGUCCUGAGUAACAGUGUGUGUCAUGGCCAGAGGUAGUCCUGAGUAACGGUGUGUGUCAUGGCCAGAGGUAGUCCUGAGUAACAGUGUGGUGUGUGUCAUGGCCAGAGGUAGUCCUGAAUAACAGUGUGGUGUGUGUCAUGGCCAGAGGUAGUCCUGAGUAACGGUGUGGUGUGUGUCAUGGCCAGAGGUAGUCCUGAGUAACGGCGUGGUGUGUGUCAUGGCCAGAGGUAGUCCUGAGUAACGGUGUGGUGUGUGUCAUGGCCAGAGGUAGUCCUGAGUAACGGUGUGGUGUGUGUCAUGGCCAGAGGUAGUCCUGAGUAACGGUGUUUGUCAUGGCCAGAGGUAGUCCUGAGUAAAGGUGUUUGUCAUGGCCAGAGGUAGUCCUGAGUAAAGGUGUGUGUCAUGGCCAGAGGUAGUCCUGAGUAACGGUGUGUGUCAUGGCCAGAGGUAGUCCUGAGUAACGGUGUGUGUCAUGGCCAGAGGUAGUCCUGAGUAACGGUGUGGUGUGUGUCAUGGCCAGAGUUAGUCCUGAGUAACGGUGUGUGUCAUGGCCAGAGGUAGUCCUGAGUAACGGUGUGGUGUGUGUCAUGGCCAGAGGUAGUCCUGAGUAACGGCGUGGUGUGUGUCAUGGCCAGAGGUAGUCCUGAGUAACGGUGUGGUGUGUGUCAUGGCCAGAGGUAGUCCUGAGUAACGGUGUGGUGUGUGUCAUGGCCAGAGGUAGUCCUGAGUAACGGUGUUUGUCAUGGCCAGAGGUAGUCCUGAGUAAAGGUGUUUGUCAUGGCCAGAGGUAGUCCUGAGUAAAGGUGUGUGUCAUGGCCAGAGGUAGUCCUGAGUAACGGUGUGUGUCAUGGCCAGAGGUAGUCCUGAGUAACGGUGUGUGUCAUGGCCAGAGGUAGUCCUGAGUAACGGUGUGGUGUGUGUCAUGGCCAGAGGUAGUCCUGAGUAACGGUGUGUGUCAUGGCCAGAGGUAGUCCUGAGUAACGGUGUGUGUCAUGGCCAGAGGUAGUCCUGAGUAACGGUGUGUGUCAUGGCCAGAGGUAGUCCUGAGUAACGGUGUG